AUAUACACAACUUCAUGUUAAGCAAGUAGCAAAUAAGACAAAUAAUCGUGUAUUAGAACCAAACAACAAUAGUUCUUAGUAUAUUAUAUUGUUAUCGAUAAGUACAUUCCAGUAUUCCAAUGUAAUCGAAAAAGAAAAGACUCAAUAAAUACUACUACUACUACUUGUUAUGGAACCGCCUAAUGCGGGAUUCCGCUUCGCUCAGUCGUAGCAUAUAUAUUCAGGGAGGUUCCCAACCCUGCCACCAUCAGCCCUAAGGGUCAAACAAUUAAUUUUGCAGAAAUGAAGGAAUACACAAAAACAACAUAUUUUAAAGGGCUCCUUAUCCACGAACACUCACCUCAUUUGCAACCUACAUCCCGACCUUCCCCUCUCACAGACAAACACUUAGCAAUUCAUAUUAUACUAAACAAUCAAACAUACAAUAUUUAUUUUCAUAGUUCAUUGACUUAACCCUAGGCGUUUAACAUAUUGAAAGAUGAAAAAUUUGGAAUUCUUAACACCUGCUGUUACUUUAACGUGAGACACUAUUUUAUACUACCAAUCACAUACGAAAUGAAAGGUUACUGUUUAUGUCAAAUCUGACCACUUCACUGAUAUUUACUCUUGCCUAAACGAGCUCGGUUAGUUGGUUUUAAUGGACCUCAUCAUUUAGUCCAUACAUGAAAUCUAAACCACUAUCAUUCUUCCCUUCGUAUACUUUGAUAACCUUACCUCACUCACUCAAUUCCUGGCGUUAAAAAAUCCUCACAUUAAAAAAAAAUGAACUUAUAAACUAACACACUAGCUACAAACAACCACAACUUAACAAAGGGAAACAAUUAUUUUGAUAUUUUUUAUCUUUGGCAUUAUUUUCUUUUCUGUUGGAUUUCACCAAGGGCUCACGCGCAUUUCUUGGCAGUCGCAAUAUAACGGUUUGACAUUCAAUGGACGUUACGUGUCCGUACUUACUUGAUAGAGAUCAAGUUGGCAACACUAACUAUAUCUACAUGCAUUUACAGCUAUGAACAACACCUAAUCGAAAACGCUGCCGGUGUGCACAGGAAAACAGUCAAAUUAAAAAAAUUAUAAGUCCCAUGCAACAAAACGAAAAUGUCGAUAUGUGGGACUUAAAAAUCGUAUAUUAAAACUUCCCACCAAGGAUAGCUACGAAAUAAAGGGGUGAAUGGCUUUCCUCAAUGACCAUCAAAUUUGGUCAAACCAUGGAGUGAAAGGAGACACACUGGAAUCCGGCAUAAUGGUGUUUCGUUCUCCAUUCACACGGAAGGGAACAUUGAAAAAAUUAACAUACUACCAAGGUUGUUCAAUCGAAAAGAAAACGAACUUGAGUCUAAAUAUGUGGAAUUAUCAUUACUAUACUAAGUGUUUUUCACUUUAUAACAACACAACCUAAAAUUGAUGCCUUAGACAAAUGAGCAUUUGUUGGCAUGGUAAGGCAAUGCUGUUCGGGCAGGUAAUGGUAGAACCAAUUAUCUGUUGGAAUAUUCACCGUUUUUUAGCACUCCAAAUGUUGGCAUGGCUUACUAAGCAGAAAAAAUCCACCUGUGACAUUUAGUCAUUAAUUGGACAGCAAAACAUUUUCAGAAAACAGGUACAUGGCUUUGGUAUUGUUGAAGUGUCCACAACAAUUGGUGUGGCAUUACUAGAGGAUUCCUCCGGUCAAAGACUCGUCUGACAUGUAUCGUCAUCUCAAGAUGGAUUCUGGGCAAUAAAAUCUCUUUUCAUCACCUGAUAGUCAAUAAUUGCAGCACCAUGUCCUAUCCAAAAAGUAUGGUGAUUUGUGACAAUUUUUAAAGGGUUGGAACAAAGACAAACGGCCUCCCAGGCUGUUGCACAGCCACACAACAUAUGGACAUACUUUUAUUGGAUGAAAGGCAUGUUGUCAAAAUAUGCCUACAUCAUUUACCUGGCCUGGUAGUGAAUUGGAGAUAUGUACGCAGACUAUUUGUUCUUGGAAAGUUUCGUGUCAUCAUAAAAAGACAACAGUACUAGGGUUUGAUUUGACCAACGGCUCUCGCGCAUUUAUAUAACGAUUUGUCAGUCGAUGGACAAUUUAUGGUUUUAGAAAAACUGCCUCUACAUCACCACGUAUCAGAUGGCUCUCUGGGCACUACGGCUCAAUCGGGUUCUCCCAGCAAUUUGGACGGUAUUUUGGCAUAAACUUUUUGGCAUUAAACAAAUUUUGGCUGACUUCCCCCAGGCCAAUACUUUGAGGCGUCAGUAUUUUCUUCGUUUUGGUUGCGGUUAGUUUUCAAUUUGGAGAUAUAUUGUUUUGCACGCACCAAAAUAUAUGUAUAUGUAACACACAAUCAAACGCAAUCAACAAAAUAAACGUUUUGUUUAGGACUGAUAUACAUUUUAAA
rnacentral:sRNA from 1 species